GCAGGUCUGCAGGUGUCUUUCUCUCCACCCUCUGUCUUCCCCUCCUCUCUCCAUUUCUCUGUCCUAUCCAACAACGAUGACAUCAAUAACAACAACAAUAAUAACUACAACAAUAAAAUAAGAGCAACAAAAGGGAAUAAAUAAAUAUUAAAAAAAAGAUUUACAGGGAGUCGGGCGAUAGUGCAGCGGGUUAAGCACAGGUGGCGCAAAGCACAAGGACCAGCUUAAGGAUAUCGAUUCGAGCCCCAGGCUCCCCACCUGCAGGGGAGUCGCUUCUCAGGCGGUGAAGCAGGUCUGCAGGUGUCUAUCUUUCCUCACCCCCUCUCUGUCUUCCCCUCCUCUCUCCAUUUCUCUCUGUCCUAUCCAACAAAUGACGACAUCAAUAACAACAGUAAUAACUACAACAAUUAAAAUAAACAAAUAAAUAAAUAAAUAUAAAAAAAGAUUUACAUGGCCUGGGGAGAUAACAUAAUGGUUAUACAAGAAGCCUUCCAUACCUGAGGCACCCAAAGGCACAGGUUCAAUCCCCAGUACUACCAUAAACCAGAGCUAUGCAAUGCUCUAGUAAAAAUAAAAAGAGAGAGACUGAAUUUAAAAAGAUUUACUUAUUUUAUUAAUGCAAGAGAGAAGGAGGAGGAGAAGAAGAAAGAAGCAGUAAAGGAAGAGAAGGAAAGAAAAAAGAAUGAAUGGAAGAAAGGAGAGACCACUACUCCAGCAUAUACUAGACUCAAACACUCUCCUGUUCAACCUCCCAGGCUGCUUUCUUUCUUCCCUUCUUCUUCUCCAUUCUCCUCCUCUACCUCUUCCUCCUUUAUUUUUGCCACGAGAGUUACUAAUGAGAGAGAAAUACAGAAAGACAGAGAAAGAUCAGAGCACUGCUCAACUCUGCUUUGUGGUGGUGCUGGGGAUUGAACCUGGGACCUCAGAGGCUCAUGUAUGGAAGCCUUCUGCAGAACCAUUACGCUAUCUCCCCAGUCCAGUUGGAAUGUUUUACACAUUUCAUAGGACAGGAAUUAAAAUAGUCAAUUAUACUGCUAGUUGUACAUAUAAACCACUGCCUAUGUUUACAUUUAUUGAUAUUACCUCCAGGAUUCUCUCUGGGGAUUGUGCCUGUGUAGAAUCCAGUGCUCUUAGGGCCUCAGGUAAAUACAAUGUUAUAGCUUUGUCCUUUCUGAGUGAUAGUUUUCAUUAUUUUUAGAGAAAGAAAAAGACAUAGAAAAGAGAGAUACCAUAACACCAUUCCACCGUCUACGGAGCUGUUUUCCUGUUGUCUGUGGUGCUGCCAUGUGAUGCCGAGGCUUUAACCCCAGACUUUGUGCUUGAGAUAGAGAAACACAGAGGAAGAGCGGGAGAGAGGAGAGACACCUGCAGCUCUACUCCAUCACUUGUAAAACUUCUCCCCCACCAGUGCAGGUGGGCACUGAGGGCUUGAACCCAGGUCCUUGAGCAUGCCAGGUAAACCACCACCUCCUUCCCCUCCACCCCCCAGAUGUAUAAGGAGCUCCAGGAGAGUGAGGGCUUUGCUGUGGGGGCUGCUGCAUCCCAACUCUGGCCAGGAGGAGGCACAUGGUAAGUGUUUCCCCCGCAUCCGCUGGGUAAAGUCAAGGAAUGAAUACUCCAUGUUUCUGAGGUCAUCAUUUGUGUUCUUUUGAUUUACCCUUGGCUGGGAUGUGCUUUUGAACAUUGCUGGAAUGAAAUGAGAACAAAGCUGUAGUUAUUCAGAUAAAUCCGGAUUAAGUUAUAUAUUUUUUGUUUUGUUUUUGUUUUGUUUUGUUUUCUUGCUGAAGGCACUUGCCCUUUCUCUGAGUCACCUGAUCACAGAACAAGGGUUUGUUGAAGUCCAGAAAGUAAGCUAAGCCCCACGUUUGAUUUAUGACAGUCAAACAAGAUGUACAGCCAGUAACUGCUCUUACUACGCCCCAAGUCCUGACUCCCAGCUGCCAGUUGGACACUGUGGGGUUGCCCUUUGCCAGGCCCCACUGCCCAGGGUUGCCUCCUGUUCUGAAAGGCACCCCAUGAGGUGCUCAGAUCACUGACACUGCCCCUCAGAGGCUCCUGGCAACCUGAGAAAGUGACCACCAGGCAGGCUUGUUCUUUCUCUGACUCAGGCAGAACUCACGCGGGCCAGGGCUACUUGUCCUCUGUCUGUCACCAGACUCUUCCUUCCACUUCACCCCCUACUCCCUGGGAAUGAUGGAGCUGUGGUUCAGAGUGCAAGGAUCUGAUCCCAGUGCUCUUCCCAGACCAUCACCAGCCACUGUGAGACAUCUCCCAGAGGUUUAUUGCAGGGCUCGGUGCCUGCACCAUGAAUCCACCGCUCCUGGAGGCCAUUUUUCCCCUUUUGUUGCCCUAGUUGUUGCAGCCUCAUUGCGGUUAUUAUUGCCAUUGUUGACGUUGCUUUGUUGUUGGAUAGGACAGAGAGAAAUGGAGAGAGGAGGGGAAGACAGAGAGAGAGGGGAGAGAAAGACAGACACCUGCAGACCUGCUUCACCGCCCGUGAAGCGACUCCCCUGCAGGUGGGGAGCUGGGGGCUUGAACCGGGAUCCUUAUGCCGGUCCCUGCGCUUUGCGCCACGUGCGCUUAACCCACUGUGCC